GGAGUCGGCCAGGCAGUCGCGUCACUCGCUUUCAUUUCGAUGGGAGCGGGUGCCGAGGAAAGUCCGGGCUCCACAGGGCACGGUGCCAGGUAACUCCUGGGCGGCGCGAGCCGACGGAAAGUGCAACAGAAAGAUACCGCCGAACGGCGUCGCAAGACGCGCGUGGCAAGGGUGAAAUGGUGCGGUAAGAGCGCACCGCGAGCCUGGCAACAGGCCGGCACGGCAAACCCCACCGGGAGCAAGGCCAAAUAGGGACCUCAUGACGUGGCCCGCGUCGGGUCCGGGUA
rnacentral:RNase_P_RNA from 1 species